GGUGAGUGCUUUGGGGUGGGGUGACUGCGUACCUUUUGUAUAAUGGGUCAGCGACUUAUAUUCUGUAGCAAGGUUAACCGUAUAGGGGAGCCGGAGGGAAACCGAGUCUUAAUUGGGCGUUAAGUUGCAGGGUAUAGACCCGAAACCCGGUGAUCUAGCCAUGGGCAGGUUGAAGGUUGGGUAACACUAACUGGAGGACCGAACCGACUAAUGUUGAAAAAUUAGCGGAUGACCUGUGGCUGGGGGUGAAAGGCCAAUCAAACCGGGAGAUAGCUGGUUCUCCCCGAAAGCUAUUUAGGUAGCGCCUCGUGAAUUCAUCUCCGGGGGUAGAGCACUGUUUCGGCUAGGGGGCCAUCCCGGCUUACCAACCCGAUGCAAACUGCGAAUACCGGAGAAUGUUAUCACGGGAGACACACGGCGGGUGCUAACGUCCGUCGUGAAGAGGGAAACAACCCAGACCGCCAGCUAAGGUCCCAAAGUCAUGGUUAAGUGGGAAACGAUGUGGGAAGGCCCAGACAGCCAGGAUGUUGGCUUAGAAGCAGCCAUCAUUUAAAGAAAGCGUAAUAGCUCACUGGUCGAGUCGGCCUGCGCGGAAGAUGUAACGGGGCUAAACCAU
rnacentral:rRNA from 1 species